AGAUAAAGGAUGGAUCCCGUUCCAGUUUCUCCACCUGAAAUCCUUUUUAGUGACAGAGAAGAGCCUGACGACUCUCUCGCAAGAUACCUGCCCUUUUUUCAUUCUCCAUAUCAUCACCAGCCUUUUUCUGAUUACACGUGUCCUUCACAAGGAGAACUAGGUCUGGGUGAAUUAUCAGAAAUAAGAACUGGGCAGUUUUGUCAAUCAAAGCUUUCACCUCCCGGAGUGAAUGAACCCGUGCCGCUGAGACCUGUCACAGUUGCUGAAAUGCUCCGCAGGUUACCCAACUGUGAAGAAAGAACAAAUAUGCAGUGGACAGCAUGGACACAAAGAGCCUCCAACGUAAACAAUCACUUUCUACAGCAUCUGGCACCAAGCCUGACAAUCGGCACAGCUCAGGAGAGUCCCUAUGGCUUAGAUUUCCCACCAGGUGUUUGUCCCUCUCAGCGCCACCACCAGGUUUUAUCACCAGGUGCCAGAGUCCACCCUGAAUUUCAACCAGUUUUACAGAAGCUCAUAUUGACCCCAUGUUCACCACCAGACUCCUGCUGCCUUGCUAUGAGCCCAGUCUCCUCCACGCCCAACUCCAGCUGUAGUUUCAGCCCCUACAUGUUGGUCCCAUGCAGCCUAUUUUCACCUUCCUAUUCUUUCUUCGUCCUGUCUGAGGAUCGUCCAAGCUGGUGCACGUGUCCACAGGUCGAACCUGUCCAUCUGGCCUGCAGUCCAGGACUGUUGUCAAGGAAUUCAGUGCAGAAGUUAAGUCUAACGCCAAAGUCUGCAGCGUCAGAGAAAGAAAAGGAUGAAGAGAAGUCAGAAGAUCAGAGGUCAGAGAUUUGUGUACAAGGACAAACAGUUGAGCAGAAAAGUGAAACACCUGACCUGCACCAACAAGCAAACAAAACAGACAAUAAAACUACAAAAUCCAGGAUUUCUCCUGGUCUUCUGCUCUCUUUGGAUGAGGAAACGCUGGCAGAACGCGCCUUUGAGGAAUACAUGAUGAUCAUGGACUCUCUCUUUCCCAAGAUCCAAGACAGCCACAAAGAGACUGAGAAGGAGGAAGAUGAGGGAGAAGAGGACGAGAAGCUGGAGAUCGAAAAUGGCUCAUUUCUAGAGUAUCUCGACAAACUCUGCAGUGACGUGGACUUUGUCAGAACUGUGGAGACGACCCUGAAUAUAGACUACUUGGAUUCCCUCCUCAGCACAGACCCAGAGCCCCUCGACCUUCUUGCACUGGAAAAACAAGACCAACAGGUAAUACUGCAGGAGCAACCACAUCAAUCAUCUGCAGACUCCAGAGAUCCUGAUGCGUCUCCGGUCCUACAGGAGCGGUCACAUCCACCUUUGGCUGACACCGACAGAUCUGUUGGUGCAAAAACAUCUCUGACAACUGCAUUUGUCGAGGAGAGAGAUCAGUCGUCAAUUUCAGGUUGUGCAAGCACACAGCCUGACCCCGAGUCAAACCAUGAUAGUCAAAAUGCACCUCAGAGUUCAUGGAACAGGGGUUCAGUGGAAAGUUGGUGCAGCUGUUCCUCCGUCCUGCCCGCAGAGGAAACACUGCCUGCUUAUGCCGCACCAGAGUACCACAACCCUGUUAAUGUGUUGACUACCGUCCCUCUGUUAAAGGACCAUAGUUCCACUUCUGUGCUCCCCUCCCCAGACAGUUUUCUUAAUUUUGAAUUUGAGGGAAGUGACUUGAAUGCAUUGGAAGCCAUAUUAGCCUGCAACAUUGAUCUAAAUGUGUCAGAAGAAGAUACUUUAGCAUCUCUCUCACAUCUUGUAGACAUGCAGACAGAGCAGCCACAUGAGAACCCAAAGGCUCCUGCACCUCGUUUCAGAGCAGACCUGUUGACUCUCAGCCCAUCCCAGUCAGCUGAGCCUCCAGUUUCGAGUGUCCUGCCUCAAUCAUCAGCGAGGACAAGGAAGCCUGAGAAACAUCGUAAACACAAAAACAUAAAACCCAAAUCCUCCUGCCUUGAUGAUAAAUCUCUUUCAGUCAAAGACAAACAUCGUUGCACAGCUAAUGUGCCAACUAAUACACCUUCUGUGGCAGAGUCCUGUACAAGUUCCUGUGAUCGCCGUGUUCAUGGCAAACUACCAGAUUUCGUGCCGGACAAACAGAUGUUAGAGGCAACAAUGAGACGGCAAGUUUCUCAAGAAUUAACAUCCUCUGGCAAGUCCUCUGAAUUAGGAACAAGAGAGCGGGGUAGAAUGGACAGAAAAUGUCUGAAAAAAGUGGUGAAAGCUCCUAGAACUGCAAGACCAGAGCCACUUGAAAAGAUGAAGGAUAAGAAAGAAGAGGAUGAGCUAUUUAAGGAAAGAACCAAUGUAGUCAAUAUGACACAGGGUCAGAGACGGUCAGGGCAGACUAAAAAGGACGAAGCAAUAAAAAACAGUGAAUGCAUCAAAGAAGGAGCAGAGAACAGGAAACCAAAACACAAGCGUGUUAAGAAAACAGUCAAAUUCACUACAGAGAAGGAAAAAGUAACUUCUGAAAAGCCAAAAAGAAAGUCCUCGGGAGAAAGGAAGGUCUGUAUAAGAGAGGGGAGGAAUAUUCAAGAAGGAAGCCGAGGAACAGAAACAGCAACUACAGUCAAGCAAUUUUCAGAGGUGGACAAGCAGAGACUCGAGGCAGAGGAACAGCGUGUGGCCGAUAACACACUGAAACUGUCUCUUUUAAUUAAAACACCACAAGAGAAGAAAGCAUCACGUAAGGGGAUGGCAAAACGUGAAGAGGGGAUUCAAAUGUCCACUAUUGUCAGAAGAAGAACCAAGAGCCAAACCGGAGAGGUUACUGCCUCCAAAGAUGCAGGGAGUCUCAAACACUCCAAGAUGGAGAGAAGUGAGAUCAAGUCCUCACCUCAUAGAGAAAUCCUGGACACACUAGAUGUAAAUGUGAAGGAAAAUGCUAUUAAACAUCCCGUUUCAAGUUUAAUUAAUAAAGGCAGGAGACGUGAGAAUAGUAAGAAGGCCAAUAACACAAAGAAAGAUUUAACUGCACGCAUCAUCAAGGACGCAGUUUCUGAAAGCUGCAGGUCCACCUCUCAGUCUGAAUCUUCCCUGCAGGACACAAACACCACUGGAACAGCCGAUCAAGGCGGACAGAAAGCAGCACCAAAUAAGAUAAAUAAGUCUAAGUGUCCCAUCUCAAGCAUGAAGUUUUCUUUGAAAACCAGCAAGAAAACCCCCAGAUUGCCCCCACGUCCAGAGACUCUCCAGAGAGAGCGUGAAACAGCAGCACAAAGUGGAGCUGUAGAGAGUCGACGUGAAUUAGAAACCUGUGACGCUCACAAUUCAAAAUCAUUUACUCAUAAGCAAAAGGUGACAAUAAGGCAGUUAACAGAAGCACCAGCUGAAAGCGAAGAAAUAAAAGAGCAUACAAGGCCUAUGUUAAGUCCAACAAAAAGGGUUCAUCAAGAGCAUGAGGCUUCACAAACAAUGGUACAUGCACCAGAGAAGUCAGGGAACCAAACGCAGAUGCCAAGUCCGACCAAAAGAGCAAAGUUCAAGAGCAUACAUUAG
ensembl:lncRNA